ACCGCCGUCUCCCUGUCCGGCCGCCACGUACUCCUGGGCUGCUGCCGCCAGGGGCCCCGGACGCCCGGUGACGGGGUGGGCGCGACCGUGGGCUGUCCCCUCCGUGGAGAAGUGUGGAAGUCACGCAUCCACCCUCCCCGCUCUCCACAGUGACAAGCGGCUAACCGGGCUCUAACAGGUCUCCCCACGCCCAGUCCACGCCCUGCGGAGGGAAAGCGGGGCUGUUGCUGACACAUUGCGUGCUCUCGGGGACACGAGACAAAGAACGGCCCGAUGGUGCAGUUAAGCUGGAGAGGAGCGUUGCCAUCAGGAAGGAGAUGAAUGAAAAUUUGACUCGGGGGCGUGGCCGAGCACCCUUCCCAGACAGGGUCCCUGAACCUGUGCCAUCUCGGGAGGCCCUGUGACCCUCCUGGCUUGGGGCCGGAUGGGGUGAUUCUUCCUCGUGUCCGGGGGCGGGGGGGGGGGAAGCUGAGCCGUUGAGCCUGGGACAAACGUCUGGCGGGCAGUGGGAGGCCAUCAGGAGCCACACACAGACAGGCCUGGGCUCAGCAGGUGUGCCGCCAGGGGGCACCACAACCUUUGCGACCUUGGUGGCGGUCCUGCCGGGAGAGACGGUGGCCCGAGGCUGGCGAUUCCUUCCCAAAGGGCCGCCGCCAUCGGGGGGGGGGGGGGGGGCACCGUGGGGAAGAGGACCUGAGCGGAGCAGCCUCCCUCCAUCCCUGUGCUGGAGAGGCCCCCCACCCCCCGCCCUCACGACGAGCACCCCCGCUGUCGUGGGAGGCGCUCCCCACCCUGCCCGCUGCGGGCGGGACCUGCCCACUGCUGGUUGUGCCCGAUGACUGGGGCCUGACCCGACCUUCACGACAGCAGUAUUUUAUUAGUGCCACAAUCCACUUUAUCAAUUGCUGCUGCCUUUUAUUACCACUGGGGAGCUUUAUCGCAGCGGCCACCUCGCCUCCAGCUAAAUGAGGAUUAAUAUUUUAACAGGAUUAUGUGCUGUGGGUUAGCAGUGCUCCCUGGGGACGCGGGGUGCUCCCCUCCCUCGCGGGCUGUCCCCUCCCCGCCAGGCCUCCCUCCUGGCGUGCAGGGAGGUCGGGUCCUGAGAUAGGGCAGCCGGGCCGCCUUGUUCGGACGCCAGGAUGGGGGGCUGGGUGGGAGGGCUCGGGGCUGUGGGGACAGUUUGCCUUGAAGAGCGGGGUCUGUCCUGUGGGUGGGAUGGCCCUGCAGGGUGAGGUCCCUGAAGAGACCAGGUUGUUUCCUGGGGUCAGUGGGCUUGACCACCAUGGGGGAGGGAGACGGGGGGGUGGGGGGCACCGCCGUGCUGAUGCCCACCUGCCCCAGGAUCUCAGCCCGCCGAGUGACACAGUUUGUAACUUUGCCAGCUUCGGGCCCUCUUGUGCGUUCUCCUGGAAAAACAUUUCCAUUUCCUCUGAAGUUUUAUAAAAGCAAGACUGUUCCCAUCCCUCUCCUGAUUCCAUCAUGGAAGGGACAAGACCCAGGUUCUCAGGCGGGGCUUUCAGGACCUGUGUGCUCGGCCCCUCGUGGGUCCCCAGUGUCCGGGGGACCCCUGCAUCACCCUCCUUCCCCGGAGCCGCCUUCUCCUUCACGAGCUGGAGGAGGGGCCGGCCGGACCCACCCCCUCCCCCCCAACUUGGGAGCUGUCCUCCACGGGGCUCCACGGGUCCUGCCGAACCACUGGUCACCUUCUCUGUAGUGGCAGUUCACAAGAGCUGAAACACAGAAGCAAGCCGGGUGUCCACCAUCGGCUGAGGGUCUGUCCACGCAAUGGAGUUUACGCAGCCUGGAGCAGGAGGGGCCUUCCGACAGCUGGUACCGUGCGGACGGACCGGGCGGACGCGAUGCCAGGUGGAAUCAGCCAGUCACAAAAGGAUAAACAGUGUAAGAUUCCAUUUAUGUGAGGCUCCUACGGUCGCCAGAUUCACAGAGGCGGAAUGAAGGAAGGGGCAGCAGAGGCCGGGGAGUUAGUGUUUCGUGGGGACAGGCUUUCGCUUUGGAAAGACGACAGUGUUCUGCAGGUCAGUCGCACGGCAACGUGAGUGUGAAUUUCGUGCUACGUGUGUUUUUCUACGAGUAAAAAUUAAAAAAUAAAAAAACCC